rnacentral:tRNA from 1 species
CGAGGGGUGGACGGGCGUGGGCGACGCGGCCCGUUGGCGGCGGGCGACGGGGUGGGCGGCGUCUGGGGCGGAGUUCGCCUCCCUCUCCUCAGCC